GUAUACAUCCAUACCACCCUGAACGCACCGGAUCUUGUCUGAUCUCGGAAGCUAAGCAGGGUUAAGCCUAGUUAGUAUAUGUA
ensembl:rRNA 5S_rRNA 5S ribosomal RNA